UACGUAGGGGGCGAGCGUUGUCCGGAAUUAUUGGGCGUAAAGAGCGUGUAGGCGGUUCGGUAAGUCUGCCGGUGAAAACCUGAGGCUCAACCUCGGGCGUGCGGUGGAUACUGCCGGGCUAGAGGACGGUAGAGGCGGAGUGGAAUUCCCGGUGUAGCGGUGAAAUGCGCAGAUAUCGGGAGGAACACCAGUAGCGAAGGCGGCUCGCUGGGCCGGUUCCUGACGCUGAGACGCGAAAGCUAGGGGAGCGAACAGGA
rnacentral:rRNA from 1 species